GUAGUAUUAAAGUAAAUAGACCGCAUUUUCCGCACUCCAAGGGGCACUUAAAAGCCUUUCAUUUUCUCAAACGACAGUACGCCUUAUAAUCCAGAGCGCUUUAUAUAUGUAUCAAUUGGUUAAUCGGUUGAUCCAUACUGGUUGUACACGGCGCUCAAGGCGCUCUGCCAAACAUGCCAAAGGCCUGUCUACGACGGCGAGAUGCUGAGCGGCCCUCAAGCGCGUGAGAUAUGGAGCUUGUUUCAGGGCGCGUCGGAGAAACAAAGCUGACGUUCUUGCCGAGAACUUAACAGAGAUUAAAGAGCGAGAGACGGCGCUCUUUUCUCUACAGUAGCUGAACUAUCUUAACGGGGAAAAUGAGUUAUUCUAAAAGGAGCCCUUGGCAGGCGGCGUGGAUGGAGAGCAGCCGAAGGAGACAACAAUCUGCACCGUGCGGCCAUGUCGCGGCCCAACGGCCCCCGCCAAGGUCAGGCGGGCCGAGCUCGAGCCGAAGCGGAGACGGACGGGAUUGCUGUGUUGCAUUCAAGGUGGCAGAGUCGUGUGCAGGAGAGCAUCUGAAAUGGGAUUCUUGGAGAACAACAGAUGCAAUUGUUGCCGAUGUCACUUCUGGUAACCUCCGAAACACAUGUGCUUCACGAUCACAUUUUAAUGCAAACAUUAAUAUCAAGCUGGACUUGUUUCACUGCAUGCGUUCCUCCGUGAGUGUCAGAGCAUCAGGCCCUGUACAGUUCCUUCGCUCAGUUCCUCUGGACUGGGACAAGCACAACAGCAAGACAGAUCACACCCAGGCCCCGAAUCCACCUCCUCAAAGUGAUCCACUCGCUACCCAGUCGCAGGUUCCUCUGUCAUCCUCACUGGCACCAU